AUUUAAAUAGCUUAUAUUUUAGAGCAUAAUAUUGAAGCUAUUAAGGAAAUAAUUUUUAUUUUUAGAUA
rnacentral:tRNA from 1 species